GGGGCUGAACGGUUUCGACUUCGCGCAUCGAAUCAAGGGAAGCGUGCCGGUGCAGGCAAGAGACCACCGUAAGCGUCGCUGUAACCAAAUAAGCGCCGAUUCACAUCAGCGCGACUACGCUCUCGCUGCCUAAGCGACGGCUAGUCUGUCAGACCGGGAACGCCCUCGACCCGGACCCUGGCAUCAGCUAGAGGGAUCCACCGACGAGUCCGGUCGCGGGACUCAUCGGGACACCAACAGCGACUGGGAUCGUCAUCUCGGCUCGUUCGCGUGACCGGGAGAUCCGAGCAGAGGCAUAGCGAACUGCGCACGGAGAAGCCUUGAGGGCAUGCCGUAGGACCCGGGUUCGAUUCCCGGCAGCUCCACCA
rfam:Mycobacterium shinjukuense strain CCTG 53584 Mycobacterium_shinjukuense_CCTG53584_contig4, whole genome shotgun sequence.